rnacentral:lncRNA from 10 species
GCCAGCUGUGGGUUUUUCAUAGAUGCCAUGUGUGAGGUUGAAGAAGUUCCCUUCUCUUCCUAGUGUGUUGAGUGAUUUUAUUACAAAGGGGUGUUGAAUUUUGCCAAAUGAUUUUUCUGCGUGUAUCGAGAUGAUUGUGUGGUUUCUGUCUUUAUUCUAUUAAUAUGAUGCAUUACACUGAUGGUUAAAUCAAUCUUGCAUUCCUGGGGCAAAUCCCACUUGGUCAAGGUAUAUAAUCCUUUCCAUAUGUUGUUGGACCCAGUUAUCUAGCAUUUUGUUGAAUUUUUUUGCAUUUACACUUAAAAGAGAUAUUGGUCUAUGGUUUUAUUUUUGAUGUAUUUGUCAGAAUUUGGUAUCAAGGUAAUACUAGUUAUAGAAAAUAAGGUGGAAAGUGUUUCCUCCUCUUCCAUUUCUGGAAGAGUUUGUGAAGAAUUUGUACCAAUUCUUCUUUAAAUAUUUGCUAACAUUAAUCAGUUAAGACAUCCUAAAUUGGGCUUUUCUUUCUGGGAAGUUAUUUGAUUGCUUAUUUAAUCUCUUUACUUGUGAUAGCUCUAUUCAGAUUUUUAUUUUUUCUUGAAUCAGUUUCAGUAGUUUGUUUAUUUAUAGGUGUGGUGGACAUCUGCAUAAACAAGAUGAAAUGUCACCAAAAUUUGGUUUAGAUGCUGAGACUGAUGAUGUUACACACACCCCAAGAGAGUAUGAAACAUUUAUUACUCACAUGAGGCUUUUUGUGGAGAGCAGCUCACGUCUCCUAACCUGGUCUGAAAAUGACUUGAGAGAGCCAGGAAAGGAGACUGGUUUGGGCUUUUUAUGAUGUUUAGAAAGUAUGACUUGGAUGAGGAUUCCCACAUGCAGGCAGGGCCAUGCAUGGUUUGAUCGUACUGUCAUUUCCCCAGGGUUUGUUGUUGUUUCUUUGUUUAAUGACUUUUCUGAACUAAUUCUGUAAAGUCUGUAUUUUUUAAAGAAUAGGUUUAAUUUAUUAGUUGCUCUUUAGCAAAGGCUAUAUAGAACAUUAUUGGGG